rnacentral:rRNA from 1 species
GUAGUCAUAUGCUUGUCUCAAAGAUUAAGCCAUGCAUGUCUAAGUAUAAAUAAAUUUAUAUUGUGAAACUGCGAAUGGCUCAUUAAAUCAGUUAUGAUCUACGUGACAUAUUCUUUACUACUUGGAUAACCGUGGUAAUUCUAGAGCUAAUACAUGCAAAAAAACCCAAACUUACGAAUGGGUGCACUUAUUAGAUAAAGCCAACGCUGGGUAAAACCAGUUUCCCUUGGUGAUUCAUAAUAAUUUAGCGGAUCGCAUGGCCUUGUGCUAGCGACAGUCCACUCGAUUUUCUGCCCUAUCAUGGUUGAGAUUGUAAGAUAGAGGCUUACAAUGCCUACAACGGGUAACGGGGAAU